CAACAACAGAGAGUGUAUAUAAUGCAGCUUUCGCUUUAGGGAUCGCAACUCAACUAACCAAUAUACUCAGAGAUGUAGGAGAAGAGUAAGUAUGAAGCUAUAUUUAAUUCACAUUGAUCAUUUCUCUAGUAACAUGCCAAAAUACAUCGAAAGCGUGGUCUAUUUCUCAUAUAUAAAGUAUAGUGUAAUGCCUAUUGCUCCAUUUUGUUUCGAAAAAGUCGCAGGCGACUUUGCCAUUCUUUUUGUUUCAGAUAUAGUAAUUGCAAGUUGUUGCUUUACCUUCAUAUUACUCUACGUGGUUGUCUAGUGAUUGUGUGUGGCAGGCUUCCACCGAUCUUCAUCACUUUCACGUUUCAUCUUCAUAUCAUUUCACAUCAACACAAAAGACGAAUUUCCUCAAUGUUUCAUCUCCUCAAGCUUUACAUCUUCAAUUACUUCAAGUAUUGCUGCAAUUUUAAGGCAAUCUUUUUUCCUCACCCAUCUUCUUCUUUGAUUUUAAUUGUUCGUAAGUUAAUUUUGAAUUGUUACAAUGAGUUGUGUUUUCUUUGUUGUGUUAGGUGUUUAUGCUACUGCAGUAGGUUUUGAUCGGGGUUGCAGGGUUAUUAUAGGCGAGGGGCUGCAUAUUUGACAAUUUAGAAGUCAAUUACGCACUCGAAGAUUUUCAACCGGUUGGUGUUAUUUUUUGUAACUUCUUAAGCAAUAUCAACUGCAUAUAUGCCAGCAGAAACUGGACGGGGAUGAGUAUAACUUGAACCGCUAGACCCUGAACUUUGCAACAUGCUAACUGAAUAUGAAAUUCAUUUAUUCCUUAGGUUAUU
rnacentral:lncRNA from 1 species